rnacentral:tRNA from 1 species
GACCGCGUAGCUCAGUUGGAAGAGCAUUGGGCUAGUAUUCCAAAGGUCGUACUGUAGGUUCGAAUCCCACCGUGGCCG